rnacentral:rRNA from 1 species
CGCGUAGGCGGCUUCUCGCGCGUGCGGUGAAAGCCCGGGGCUCAACUCCGGGUCGGCCGUGCGGACGGGGAGGCUGGAGUCUGGUAGAGGCCGAUGGAAUUCCGGGUGUAGCGGUGGAAUGCGUAGAGAUCCGGAAGAACACCAGUGGCGAAGGCGGUCGGCUGGGCCAGCAUCUUUGGAUGGUCGGGGCAACCCGAUACUGACGCUGAGGCGCGACAGCGUGGGGAGCAAACAGGAUUAGAUACCCUGGUAGUCCACGCCGUAAACGAUGGGCACUAGGUCCUUGGGGGAGCGACCCCGUGAGGGCCGACGCUAACGCAUGAAGUGCCCCGCCUGGGGAGUACGGCCGCAAGGCUGAA